ACACGCAUGACACACUGCAUAUCAAUAAGCGGAGGAAAAGAAACUAACUAGGAUUCCCUUAGUAACGGCGAGUGAAGCGGGAAGAGCUCAAAUUUGAAAUCUUCAAGGUUUGACCUUGACGAAUUGUAGUUUAAAGAAGUGUUUUCUGUUAGUAGAGUAGGCAAAAGUUCUUUGGAAUAGGACAUCAUAGAGGGUGAGAAUCCCGUAUUUGGUCAUUCUUUCUAGCUUUGUGAUACACUUUCAACGAGUCGGAUUGUUUGGGAAUGCAGUCCAAAAUGGGUGGUAAAUUUCAUCUAAAGCUAAAUAUUGGCGAGAGACCGAUAGCGAACAAGUACCGUGAGGGAAAGAUGAAAAGAACUUUGAAAAGAGAGUUAAACAGUACGUGAAAUUGUCAAAAGGGAAGCGUUUGACACCAGUGUUGUUUUUCCGAAAAUCAAUUACGAAUGUUUUAGUUUUUGAGAAGUUAUGACUUCAUCGGCUUGCUUCUCUCUUUAUGAAACUUUCUUAAUGCACUUUUCGGUUAACAAGUCAACAUCAAUUUCUUUUGUUGUAAAAGGGUAUGAGGAAGGUGGCUUUCUUUUCGGAGAAAGUGUUUAUAGCCUUGUACCUCUGCAAUCGGAGAGAUUGAGGUCUGCAGCGUAGAUCCUUCGGGGUUAGAUACAUUUGUGCUAAGUUAUAGCUUUUCAUAGACAACAUUGUUGACUAUGAUUUAAGUCAUUGUAGCUUACUCGCUUAUGCUAUUUUACCUACGCUUAGGAUGUUGAUCUACAGAGCGAGAGU
rnacentral:rRNA from 1 species